GGCAUAGGGAUCACCACUCUGCUUUCUGGUCUUGGUAUUUUGCUGUUGUGAGCCGCCAGUAGAUCUCACUGAUCUGGCUUUUACAAGUCCUCUUCAGCUGAUACACAAAGACCCCAGUCUGACAGCAUCACUAUGGAGUGAAGACACAACAAUGUCUCUCUUGGUCCCAGCUUUCUCUCCCUUUCAAGGUUCAGCUGCACACUGAACAGAUCUAUCUGAGAACCUUCAUCUAGCAACUGAUGGACACAGAUGCAGAGAUCCACAGCUAAGCACUGGGCCAAGCUCCCAGAGUCCAGUCGAAGAGAGGGAGGAGUGAUAAUAUGAACAAAGAGGUCAAGACCAUGAUGGGGAAACCCUCAGAAACAGCUGACCUGAGCUAAAAGGAGCUCACUGACUCUGGACUGACAGUGUUGGAACCUGCAUACGACCAAACUAGGCCCUCCCAAUGUGGGUGACAGUUGUGUGGCCUGAGCAAUCUACUGGGCUACUGACAAUGGGACCAAGAUUUAUCCCUAGUGUUUGAAAUGGCUUUUUGGAACCCAUUCUCUUUGGAGAGAUACUUUGCUCAGCCUAGAUAUAGUGGGGAGGGCCUUGGUCCUGCCUUAAUGUUAUGUACUAGACUUUGUUGACUCCUCAUGGGAAGCCUUACUCUCCCGAAGGAAUGGAUGG
rnacentral:lncRNA from 1 species